GUGGGGAAUCUUCCACAAUGGACGAAAGUCUGAUGGAGCAACGCCGCGUGAGUGAAGAAGGGUUUCGGCUCGUAAAGCUCUGUUGUCGGGGACGAAUGUGCAGUAUUUGAAUAAAGUACUGCAAUGACGGUACCUGACGAGGAAGCCACGGCUAACUACGUGCCAGCAGCCGCGGUAAUACGUAGGUGGCAAGCGUUGUCCGGAAUUAUUUGGCGUAAAGGGAGCGCAGGCGGGAAGGUAAGUCGGUCUUAAAAGUGCGGGGCUCAACCCCGUGAUGGGAUCGAAACUAUCUUUCUUGAGUGCAGGAGAGGAAAGUGGAAUUCCUAGUGUAGCGGUGAAAUGCGUAGAUAUUAGGAGGAACACCAGUGGCGAAGGCGACUUUCUGGACUGUAACUGACGCUGAGGCUCGAAAGCCAGGGGAGCGAACGGGAUUAGAAACCCUGGUAGUCC
rnacentral:rRNA from 1 species